rnacentral:rRNA from 1 species
CCUACGGGCGGCUGCAGUGGGGAAUAUUGCACAAUGGGGGAAACCCUGAAGCAGCGACGCCGCGUGAGGGAUGAAGUUAUUCGGUUUGUAAACUUCUUUUAGUAGAGAAGAAAAUGACGGUAUCUGAGUAAUAAGCCCCGGCUAACUCCGUGCCAGCAGCCGCGGUAAUACGUAGGGUGCAAGCGUUAUCCGGAUUUACUGGGCGUAACGCGCGCGUAGUCGGGAUAGCAAGUCUGGAGUGAAAGGCUGGGGCUCAACCAUCGAACUGCAUUGGAAACUGUUCGUCUAGAGUACAGGAGAGGUAGGUGGAAUUCUUGGUGUAGCGGUGAAAUGCGUAGAGAUUAAGAGGAACACUAGUGGCGAAGGCGGCUUACUGGACUGUAACUGACGUUGAUGCUCGAAAGCGUGGGGAGCAAACAGGAUUAGAUACCCUAGUAGUC